UUCGAUUCUCGGGCGUCGCAAGAUGAGUUACCCGGUGGCAUGUGUGUGGUGGCUAGCACGUAUUGUCCCCAGAGUUUACCCCCGUUAUCCCGGGCUUUCGGACUGGCCAUGUUGGUAUGGUGCGCGGAUUCCUUAUUCACAAAAAAAUAAAAAUAAAUAAGAGGUUGAAAUAUAUAAAUCUUAAAUAAGUUUAAUCUGUACCGACUCAUUUAUCUAAACGCAGACGGACGCGGUUACUCUCCCUCUUCAACGUCUUCGUUCUCUUCGUUUUCUCGCUUAACCUCCAUCUUCUUCUCCUUCCGCCCGCCGCCGCCGUCGCCAUCGCCACCGUCUUCGCAGUCCGCGGAAAGUAGAGGGAGCGGCGGGGUAGAGAGAGAAUAUUUUCCGGAAAGGGGGCGAUCGAAUUCGCUCGCGGAAAGCGAUUGCGCUUUGAUUGGGCGGAUCUGCGGAUCUAAGCGGCCCUCGACCAGUCGCCCCCACAUGCUCUGUCGCCGUUCCCCGGUCUUUUAGAUCUCCGUCGCUGUCGUCCGGCGCGUUCGGCCGCAAACCUAAACUCCGCGCGUUCGGCAUCAGAUGCUUAGGACUUGCCGGGUAUUUUACUUGCGGUUUCAGAAAGGCUUCGU
rnacentral:lncRNA from 1 species